CACAGAGUGAACAGAGCUGAUCUCCACAGGCAGGUUUCUUGUCCUGAGCAUUCCUGACUUUAUUGCAGUUCCAAAAUGAGAUGUGAAGAUGAAGAAAGGAACUGCAGUCACAGGAACUCCUUAUAGGAAACACUUGGAAACUCAGUGCAAUGGAUGUGAGGAGGCUUUCACAAAGGAGAGAUGGCAGCCAGAGUUCCACAAUGGGCUGUACUGAACUCUCUAAACCUAAAGGCACACACAGAGUAAAUUAUCUUCUUAUCAACCGAAUCUGCUGGGUCUCUGCAAGUAUUCCUUCCAAGGCAGGAAUAUUGCUCCAGAAAAGAAGUGUUUCUGACUUCUUCUAGACUCAGCUUUUGGGCCCUACUUUCUACUUAUUUCAGAGUUAUUCCACUGACCAGGGACAUCACAGAAACUCCUUUAUACUGAACAGCUCCAACAACUCCUUGAACAGCCCCCUCUGCUCCUUGGUUCUUUCCUGCUGGGCUGAGCUGGUUCAUGGCUGUGGCAGGGUGAGAGUGAGUCCCUUCUGUCUUGGAGAAUGGCUGUUUUGUGAAAACCUGCUCCUGAAAAAUGUAUUUACUGCAUUAUAAACACGUUACCUUAGAUUUUGUGCAGUCUGACAGACUGACCUGGCAACAACACUGCAGGAAUGUGGGUUAGUAAAGAUUGUGUGUUGUCAGCUUUUAAUAUCAUCCUUAGAAUUUUAUAUAUAUAUAUAUAUUUUGGAGCUGAAUAGGGUAAUAUAUGUCACUAUGUUUCAAAUGUAAUAUUUAAGAACAUUUUCAAGAAUAUUUUUUUUAAAAGUGCCAUGUCUCUAAGAACAACCUGCCUCUAAAUUCAGGCUGUGCACUUUGCUUCACGUGGAGCACAAUUCAGAGCCCACACGAGCACAUUUCCCUGGCACUGGUUGUUUACCAAGCCAAACCAUCCAUUCCACAUCUACAGACAAUCCCCUUUUGACCUGGGGCUCCCAGAUACCCCUUAGGGUUCUGUAAACAGGGAGCCAGCCAGUUGUUUCAGUGUUGUUUUCCUUGUCAAGAAGAGUUUAAAUCCCAUCCUCUGCUGGCAAGUUUCCCUCCUAAUUGCAGCAAAGAGGUGCUGCCAUGCCAUUGUGAGGUGGCUGAUAGUGGCAGUGUUUUAAAUGACAAGGCACAGAAGAAAAGCCCCUGCUCUCUGGAACCUGCUGUAGGAACAGAUAAAUGUAUGUUAAGUAUAUAAUUAGUGAGGCAGAUCCUGCAGAGAAAUCAUUUGUGGCCUUUACAGAAAGGAUCUGUCUUGUAGGGCUGAUUGAAUAGAAGGCGAGGGGAUGGGGGAUGCACUUAAUAAAGGGAAAGGCAGAGCUAAGGUUGGACUGACA
rnacentral:lncRNA from 1 species